UACAGAGGGUGCAAGCGUUAAUCGGAUUUACUGGGCGUAAAGCGCGCGCAGGCGGUUCGAUAAGUUAAUUGUGAAAGCCCCGGGCUCAACCUGGGAAUUGCAGUUGAUACUGGCGGGCUAGAGUCCUGUAGAGGGGGGUGGAAUUCCAGGUGUAGCGGUGAAAUGCGUAGAUAUCUGGAAGAAUACCGGUGGCGAAGGCAGCCUCCUGGAC
rnacentral:rRNA from 1 species